UGGAGACUCCAUGUGUAAGCAGCUGCUGCAAUCAGCAUUAACUCCGGGCUCGCAGGGUACUUUUUAACAAGGCACAUUUCAGAAGACCUUACUCAGAAAAUAAGGGUGUGCAUCUGGCACUGAAACUCACCAAAUCCUAUGCUGUACUUACCAUGGCUGUUAGCAGAUUAAAUCAUAAAUAUACAAGAACUAUUAUAGGUGACAAAGAUGUGCAGAGGAUCGCUAUAGAAAAGCUUUAAAGUUCAUCACAUUUUCAGAGGCUGAGCAAGCUUUACCUGAAGUUCGGACAACAAAUCUUUUCAUGAUUUUUUAAUGUAUUUUUUUAUGCCAAUAUUCUCUUUGCUAAGAAUUAUCACCAAAAAAAAAAAAAUUUAAAAGAGGUACUUGAAGAUUCUUCCAUUGAUCCUGCAUGUUUGCUCUUGUCCUAAAGCUGCCCCACUUCAUUUGAUAAGGGAUAAAUAAAUGCCUGGCUUCAUUUGAAUAAAUGAGUUGA
rnacentral:lncRNA from 1 species